CUUCAGGCCCUUUUAAGAGCCACCCAUAUGCUCAUUUAAAGAGCUG
rfam:Canis lupus familiaris chromosome 35, whole genome shotgun sequence.